GAUGAACGCUGGCGGCGUGCACAAUACAUGCAAGUCGAGCGAACGGACGAGAAGCUUGCUUCUCUGAUGUUAGCGGCGGACGGGUGAGUAACACGUGGAUAACCUACCUAUAAGACUGGGAUAACUUCGGGAAACCGGAGCUAAUACCGGAUAAUAUUUUGAACCGCAUGGUUCAAAAGUGAAAGACGGUCUUGCUGUCACUUAUAGAUGGAUCCGCGCUGCAUUAGCUAGUUGGUAAGGUAACGGCUUACCAAGGCAACGAUGCAUAGCCGACCUGAGAGGGUGAUCGGCCACACUGGAACUGAGACACGGUCCAGACUCCUACGGGAGGCAGCAGUAGGGAAUCUUCCGCAAUGGGCGAAAGCCUGACGGAGCAACGCCGCGUGAGUGAUGAAGGUCUUCGGAUCGUAAAACUCUGUUAUUAGGGAAGAACAUAUGUGUAAGUAACUGUGCACAUCUUGACGGUACCUAAUCAGAAAGCCACGGCUAACUACGUG
rnacentral:rRNA from 1 species